AUGGUUAAAAGUGACAUGCAUACAACUUUUCCCUUGAUUUACCGUCUUGUUGAGUUAGAAUUGAUUUUACAUGUUGCAACCGAAACAGUGGAAAGUGCAUUCUCAUCAAUGAGCAUUAUCAAGACUCGGUUGAGGAACAAAAUGGGUGAUGGUUGGAUAAAUCAUAGAAUGGUAUGUUACAUUGAACGAGAUGUAUUUGUUAGUAUUGAAGAAUCAAAGAUCAUCGACCAAUUUCAAGGUUAUCGCACAUAUAAAGGUUUGCCUCAUCCUAGAGAUAACUUUUCACAUUUUGCAUCUAUUAUUAAUUAG
rnacentral:rRNA from 1 species